AUUGAACGCUGGCGGCAUGCCUUACACAUGCAAGUCGAACGGCAGCAUGGAGAGCUUGCUCUCUGAUGGCGAGUGGCGAACGGGUGAGUAAUGCAUCGGAACGUACCGUGUAAUGGGGGAUAACGUAGCGAAAGUUACGCUAAUACCGCAUACGACCUGAGGGUGAAAGCAGGGGAUCGCAAGACCUUGCGUUAUACGAGCGGCCGAUGUCAGAUUAGCAAGUUGGUGAGGUAAAGGCUCACCAAGGCGACGAUCUGUAGCGGGUCUGAGAGGAUGAUCCGCAACACUGGGACUGAGACACGGCCCAGACUCCAACGGGAGGCAGCAGUGGGGAAUUUUGGACAAUGGGGGCAACCCUGAUCCAGCCAUGCCGCGUGAGUGAAGAAGGCCUUCGGGUUGUAAAGCUCUUUCGGCCGGGAAGAAAUCGCACAGGCUAAUACUCUGUGUGGAUGACGGUACCGGCGCAAGAAGCACCGGCUAACUACGUGCCAGCCGCCGCCGUAA
rnacentral:rRNA from 1 species